UACGUAGGGUGCAGGCGUUUAAUCGGAAUUACUGGGCGUAAAGCGUGCGCAGGCGGUUUGCUAAGACAGGUGUGAAAGCCCCGAGCUUAACUUGGGAAUUGCGCUUGUGACUGGCGUGCUGGAGUGUGGCAGAGGGAGGUGGAAUUCCACGUGUAGCAGUGAAAUGCGCAGAUAUCAGGAGGAACACCGAUGGCGAAGGCAGGUCUCUGGGCCACUACUGACGCUGAGAAGCGAAAGCAUGGGGAGCGAACAGG
rnacentral:rRNA from 1 species